GACUCCAUAGCUCAGUUGGUUAGAGCGUAGCACUGUUAACAAUAUAUGUGUCCUUCUCCGAUUUGUGUCGGGGAUGCUGAGGUCGGCGGUUCGAGCCCGCCUGGGGUCG